ACAGGUUGCCCCAUAGUGACCCUGGAGACUCCCGCCUGCCCCCAGUGAAGGAAUUGGUUACUCUCCCAGAGCCCUCCCGGCCAUCGCCCCCUUCCUCACUUCCUCCUCUUCCUGCCCCCAGCCUCUACCCCUCCAGCCUCCUGUGGCUUCACAGCCAAGUGCCCCAUCUCAGGAAGAAGGAGUUGGAGCUCCGUGAUGCCAUUCAAAAACAGAUGACAUGGGGACAGAUUUAACCCAAAGGGCAUAGUUCAACUCCUGGUCUUGACAGAGGAGAAGCCCUCAAAGCCUCUCUCAAUUGCCUUCUCAGCUUGUAUGCUUUGAAGAAGCAAGCUGCAGUGUUGGAGAGGCCCAUGUGGCAAGGAAAUGAGGGUGGCCUCCAGUCAAUGGCUGGUGAGAAACUGAGACCUUCCUUCCAACAAUUGUCAAGUAACUGAAUACUCCCAACAACCAUAUGGGUUAGCUUAGAAGUGAACCUUUCUCUAGUUGAGGUUUCAGAUAAGACCACAGAUAUUAUACUAA
rnacentral:lncRNA from 1 species